CCUACGGGAGGCAGCAGUGAGGAAUAUUGGUCAAUGGGCGAGAGCCUGAACCAGCCAAGUCGCGUGAGGGAAGACGGUCCUAUGGAUUGUAAACCUCUUUUGUCGGGGAGCAAAAAGGCCUCGUGAGGCCACAAGUUAGAGUACCUGAAGAAAAAGCAUCGGUAAACUCCGUGCCAGCAUCCGCGGUAAUACGGAGGAUGCGAGCGUUACUCGGAUUUAUUGGGUUUAAAGGGUGCGUAGGCGGACUGGAAAGUCAGCGGGAAAAUUGAGAGGCUCAACCUCUUUCCGCCGUUGAGACUGGCGGUCUUGAGUGGGCGAGAGGUAUGCGGAAUGCGUGGUGUAGCGGUGAAAUGCAUAGAUAUCACGCAGAACUCCGAUUGCGAAGGCAGCAUACCGGCGCCCGACUGACGCUGAGGCACGAAAGCGUGGGUAUCGAACAGGAUUAGAUACCCUGGUAGUC
rnacentral:rRNA from 1 species